AACGCAUCUUGCGCUCCUUGGUAUUCUGAGGAGCAUGCCUGUUUGAGUGUCAUUUCAAGUUCUCAACCGCAUCAAUUUCUUCUGAUUGGUGUGGCUUGGAUGUUGGGGGUUUUAUUUUGCAGGCUUCUUCUUUCUAGGAGGAAAUCGGCUCCCCUGAAAUAGAUUAGUAGUAUAUCUGAGCCUACUACAAAGGUGUGAUAAAUUAUCUAUGCCUUUUCAUAGUAUGGACGACUGCUUCUAACAAGUGGAAACACCUUUUAUGACAAAUUUGACCUCAAAUCAGGUAGGACUACCCGCUGAACUUAA
rnacentral:misc_RNA from 1 species